rnacentral:rRNA from 1 species
AUCUGGGAGAUCCUCAUCCGUCUCCCCCCUAAAUCCCUCCUACGUUGCCGUGCCGUCUGCCGUGUCUGGCGCCAUGCCACUUCCCAUCGCCAAUUCCUACUCGCCCACCACGCCCGCCAGCCCUCGCUCCCCAUCGUCUUCAGCUCCAUACACGGCAACGAAAUCAGCAAUACAAUCGCUACCUUGGACCACCGAGCUGCCGUUCCCCAAGACCAACUCCAACCUAUCGGCCCGCGUGACCAGAUUUUUCUAGAGGCCUCCUGCGAUGGCCUCCUCAUCCUCUACAAAUAUGGCACCGAUGCCAAGCACUGCUUCUUCGUCUAUAACCCGACCACGCGACAGCAUUCUCCCAUCCGGCAACUGUUGCGCUUUAACAUCAUGGGGAUGUACCCACACCGACCUACCAGUGAGUACCGGUUGUUACUACAAAAGAGAUACAUGGACUCGUCUCAAGAUCAAAUUGGCUGCUGUGUCUUUGCGUUGGGCUCGGACCAACCACUGAGGUACAUUGGGUGGCCGGAGAAAGCAUCGGAGUGGUUCACUGUACCUGUCCGGAUGCGUGAUAGCCUGCAUUGGUAUCCAAUGUAUCUUUCCAGGCAGACUGAACCGGUAAUGGUAUUCGACACCGUGUCAGAGUCAUUCCGGCAGAUGCGUGCUCCAGCUAUUCCCACCAAGGCAUGUAUGUUUGAGAUGGAUGACACACUUGGCAUCUAUAGUUGUAACACGACCUUGGAAAUUGUUAAUAUAUGGGUGUUGCAGAACUACUUAAGUGAGGUCUGGAACCUAAAGUAUCGGGUUGCAUUGCCGAUCGCCGAAAUCAGGGAGAAGUUUGACGACCAUGAUGCCUAUUGGAAUGCGAAUGUUGCUUCGGGGAAUGGUGAUGUGCUCUUGCUGGUUAGUUUUAAUCAUUGGUUGUUUUACGUUGACACUGAUGGCAAACUGGUUGCUAGCUUCCAAGGCUUCUAUGCCUCUCGUUUUCGCCACAAACAAACUCUUGUUCCACAUACCUUC